ensembl:rRNA 5S_rRNA 5S ribosomal RNA
GUCUAUGGCCAUGCCACCCUGAUCACGCCCAAUCUCAUCUGAUCUCAGAAGCUAACCAGGGUUGGGCUUGGUUAGUACUUGGAUGGGAGACCAUCUAGGAAUAUCAGAUGCUAUAGAUU